CUGAGGCACUCCGGUUAGCGCAUAACAACGUUGAAGUCAUCUUUCUCCCCCCCCCCAAUACCACCUCCAACCUCUCGACCAAGGCGUGAUUCGCUGUUUCAAGGCCACGUACACAAGGCUUACGUUCUCACGGAUACGUAGCACUAUGGAUGCUGAUCCCAAUCUUAAUGUGAUGGAGUGUACACUCAAAAAGAAAAGGAGUACCCGUGGCACCUUAGAGACUAACA